UACGUAGGCAGCAAGCGUUGUUCGGAGUUACUGGGCGUAAAGCGUGCGCAGGCGGUUUUGUAAGCCAGAUGUGAAAGCCCCGGGCUUAACCUGGGAAUGGCAUUUGGGACUGCAAGGCUUGAGUGCGGCAGAGGAGACUGGAAUUCCUGGUGUAGCAGUGAAAUGCGUAGAUAUCAGGAGGAAUACCGAUGGCGAAGGCAGGUCUCUGGGCUGACACUGACGCUCAUGCACGAAAGCGUGGGGAG
rnacentral:rRNA from 1 species